rnacentral:rRNA from 1 species
UCCUACGGGAGGCAGCAGUGGGGAAUAUUGCACAAUGGGCGCAAGCCUGAUGCAGCGACGCCGCGUGAGGGAUGACGGCCUUCGGGUUGUAAACCUCUUUCAGUACAGAACAAGGCCUUCGGGUUGAGGGUAUGUGCAGAAGAAGCGCCGGCUAACUACGUGCCAGCAGCCGCGGUAAUACGUAGGGCGCGAGCGUUGUCCGGAAUUAUUGGGCGUAAAGAGCUCGUAGGCGGUUUGUCGCGUCUGCCGUGAAAUCCGCUGGCUUAACGGGGGGCGUGCGGUGGGUACGGGCAGACUGGAGUGCGGUAGGGGAGACUGGAAUUCCUGGUGUAGCGGUGGAAUGCGCAGAUAUCAGGAGGAACACCGGUGGCGAAGGCGGGUCUCUGGGCCGUUACUGACGCUGAGGAGCGAAAGCAUGGGGAGCGAACAGGAUUAGAUACCCCAGUAGUCG